CGGUUAAACCUGGGUAGCCCAAUUCAAACAUUUCAGUGUAAAAGGUGGUUAGACGGUCUCUUUCAUACUUAUAGGUAGCAGGAAAAUAGAAGGACGAUCUAGGGGGGUAAGGGUAUAAUCUGGCCAAUCCCCCUGAGGAAAGUGGGAGUUUCUUCUUUAGGUUGAGGCCACGGAACCGGUAAAUCGAAGACAUGGAUUAGGGACCCAUUUAUUGCCGACGCAAACUUUGCUUAGGGAGGCUGCUUGAGUACUACGAGCGUGUGCUUAAAACUCAAAGGAUUUGGCGGCUCGUUAACUACCUAGGGGAAUAUGUGCCUUAAUCCGAUGAUACCCGUUACAUCUUACUGUGCCUUGAAAAAGAGCAGCUGGUGUAUUGCCGUUGUCAGCUUGUUGUCUGAGCAAAAAGUAACAGGCUUAAGGGAACUGAUGGUUAAUUCUAAAGGGAUCCGUAAAUUCAGGUCGAAAUGCCGCCUAUGGUGCAGGGAAGCAGGUAUUACAGUUUAGACUUUAAACAACGGAUCCUAUUAUUUCAGUGGAAUCACUAGGUGAAGGUGGACUUAGGAGUAAGGGAAGAAUAACAUACUCCCCUGAACGUGAAUCUAACUUGUGUACAAACCGCCCGUCGCUCUCUUUGGAAGGGGAGAUAAGUCGU
rnacentral:rRNA from 1 species